AGGACGUCAAUUAUUCAAGCUCCACUUAUUCGGAGGCAGUGGGUCUUCUAUGAAUACAGACAUUAUGUUUAUUUAUAGGGACGGUAAACCAACCUGGAAAGUUCAUCCUCUGGCUCUGGAUGAGCUCGGGAUAUCAGGAAGGAAGGUAUUGCUUCCUGUCAACUAUUUAAACUCAAGUCCAACCAACCAGGGUUCUAUGAAUAAACACACAGGGACCUGUUAAACCGUAACUAUGAGCUAAAGUGAGUUUAUUCCUCCCCCGGCCGGUUAUCAGAUGUUCACUUCAUGGUCUGUGGGGGACGUGGUAAACAGCCACCGGGGAGUUUCCUGCUCUUUUAAUUGGAGGGGUUCUUGAAGCAGAUGUCCAACGUGUAAGGAGACGUGGAUGACAGCUCUGGGGCCUCUUGCUGUUGAAGCUGGAAGAACGGAGAAGGUCCAGUAGACUAGUGCAGUAGAUAAUCACUCCAGGGCCAACCCAUGAGGUCUCAAAUCUCCUACCUGAGCUGGCACCUUCCUUAGUUAACUACCUUUGGCAUAAUAUGAAGAAAUGUCAAAUGCUGUGCAUUGUUUUCAAGCCAGAUUCCAACAAUGCUUAGAAAGGUUCUUCGGAAGAAAGCUUUUCUCAGCCUUUUUUCUGAAUUUUGCUUUCCAGAGCCUGACGCAAGGGCGAAAAUUUCUUUAUUUUCCCUCAUUCCCACCCGUGCUUGUCAGGGCCAACACUGUACACUGGCUCACUUUGGGGAACUCUGGAAAACAUACAUCCUAACCCUUGUCUGAAAAUAACUGGCAGCAAGGCUAUAGGUA
rnacentral:lncRNA from 1 species